CUGCUGCCCGCGGGAGCGGCGCCCGCUCAGGAACCUCCGGCUGCACCCCCGGUACCUGCCCUGGCACCCGCCCUGGCACCGCCCCGAACCCCCGAGCCAGGAGGGCACGGAGUUUUUACAAACGGACUUUCCUGGAUGGUUUGUCAGUCAUCCCAGCCUUUCAAAGUGCUGAAACACUGCCCUGGGUGGCCCAACAAGCCUAAAAGUGACAUCAGCUGUUCUCAUGCAAUUUUGGUGCCUGUUACAUAUGGAUUUCAAAGUACUUGUGCAAGAAAAUUAAACUGAUCAAAACUGUGCAGUCAAUCCAAAGGAGAGCAAAAGACAGCACAAAAGACUUGCACAAACUGACACCUCAGGUUUCUGCCUGCUCCUGAUCCAUGACUUCCCUUUCAGAUCCCACCAGAAUGUUCCAGUGAUGUGGUUCCAGCUCCUGCCUUGCAAGAGGAGGUGAAGCACAAGCAGAGGCUGCCCAAAGAGGCUGCAGGAAUUCCUUCCUUGAGGAGUCUCAGAACUUGGCAAGGCACUGAACAACUUUAAUAACUUUGACCUCAGUCCUGCUCCAAAGAGGAGAGGAGACCAAAGGCUCCACAGGGUACACCUAAGGUGUGGUAAAUUGUCAGUAUUGCAACAUUCUCAACUUGUGACAAGUAAAGAUUUACAUAUUUUAGUCACUUGAGACAUAUUUCAGGACUUGGCAAUGUGGAUACUAAUACACAUUCAGUCAAAGGAUGAAGUAAGAGCUUGUGUGGACUAGGAUGGCGUCCCUGGAAAAACAUCUGGAGUGUGUAAGGGACCCCAGUGCCCUCCCUGGGGACACUCCACCUCAGGAGCCUUUUUGGCUCCUACUCUGCCAAUAGUUCCACUGAUACUCAACCCUGCUACUGGCAACAGCUCCAAUCAGAGACAUCUUUUAUAGAUGUUUCAAUAUUUAAAAAAUAACCCCCCCCCAAAUUGCAACAGCUGAAAAUAUUGGAAGACAUAUUUAUUGCAUCAUUGGCAUCAUCUUUAUUGCAAGUCUCUCAGGUUUUGGUUACCUUGCCUGUUUUCAAGCAUUCAAGCCACAUCAUAGUGAAAACCUAGCGCUAAUACAAUAACUAAACCUUUUCCACAAUAAAUUAACUAUUGAGUCAUCAUUUCUUUAUCAGAACAAAUAAAAAAUGCAACUGAAAUACUAAGGCUAUCACUGAAAAAGCAAGUUACCAAGGCUUUCAGUAAAGCGUCCUGUAAAAAAUGUGUAAUUAGCAGAAAUGCUGGUUCUGCUCACUUAUUUGAAAAAUACACCAGAAAACUGUCCAACUAUAAACAGAAGCCAAAUUCUACAAGUACUGCUCAGUUCAACAGUGAGUACAGAAUUUCUGUUGCAGUGAAAGAUUUGCCUCUUCUGUGCAGCAGUGUUUAACCACACAUUCAGUGUUUUCUGUCACAAAGAUAUUUUUCUGCAUAUGCAGCAUAUUCAACACAUGACAAAAUAUUCUACCUGCUUUAAACAUUUCAUUUAAUUAAGAGGAAACAGAUUCAGACACAACAACAUUAACAGCAGUUUCAGACAUAAAGUAUUCAUUUUAGCAAUACAUCCUUUUCUGACAAAUGGUACAGAGCAAGCCACAAAAAGUUAACUCAAAAUUGCAUAGAUGAAAUGCUCAAGAAGGUUAAAUUAAGUUCCAAAUUAAUGUAAUUUUUACUGAUAGAGAUUCUGUUGCCUAUGAUAGCAUUACUUAAAUAAUUUGUCAAGUUAUGGUAAAUUUAAAUUAUAAUGCAUAACAAUUCUGUCAGUUGCCACUGAAAAACAGGAGUCCAAACCAACCUAAAUUCUCCAAGGGCUCGAGUUGUUCUGGCAAUACCUCAAUAUUACAAAGGCUGUUCUUGAACAUUCUGCAACAAAAUCCAAAGCUCUCACAGAUGAUGUUAUUGAUGUCCUUUGUGGGCUUUUUUCAUCUAUAAAAUGGACAUAAAAGAGAAAAUAUCAAGAUAAAUGUUGUUCCAAACCACUGCACAAUUACAGAUCAGCUUUCAGUAGACAAAGGCUUAUCACUUAAUUGCUCCCAUGAUCUCCAAAGCACAGGAGCAAUGCUCCCUGUGUGAGGGUUGCAUGGAUUUAUCACUGGGAAAAUGCUGCAGAGGCUUUCACAGACCAGCAUCACAACAGCAGCUGAGCAGACAGGAGACCAACUUCAUGAUAAAUACAGUGAUUAAUUCAGAGUCCUUAAUGACACUUUAAUUCUCUCUGUACCCUGUCAGGUGGCAGUGGCAAGUUCUAAGGCUCUCUGGUCUUUCCCUACUUUAGUUCUCUCUCUCCAAGCACCAAUUUGAAUUCCAGUUCUGAUGGAAUUACACCAGAGACCAUUCUCAUGGCUAUUCUCAUGGGCACUGCACUGACACAAGGCACAAUCCCAUGGCUGCACACUCUGAAAGCCUGUCUUCACUUCUGCAAGUCAGCUCAGGGGCUAACAAUGAAAACUGGGCUCCCAGCAUUUGCCAUCAGUAGAAAAUUCAGUGAUGAGUACCUGCACUUGUAACCUGUAGUACUUCUUGGAAAGGUCAACGCUUGUCCGUCCUUUCUGGAAAGGGUAAGACCACAAAAUCAAAUUCCAGUGGUUGCCCAUUUUUUGAACGCCUUUCAAAAGGCAGUUGAUUUCUUCAGUUGUGAAAUCUUUUCGGACUCUUCUCUUGUUCAAAGGUCUCAUGCUCGUGGCCAGGGAACACGUUUCCUUACCCUGCAAAUAAUUAUUUUGGUGUCAUUAAGAAUUAUGUAAAUGUACAUACUAUUUUGCACGGGGAAGUAACAUUACCAGCAAUUCAACAUUUAGUAGUUGUAAAGAAAUUGUCUCACUGGCAAGGGAGCAAUGCUUCUCCAAUAUUUCUUCACUGUCAACACUUACUAAAAUACAGUAUUUUUCUGUGAUCUUAAUUUCUCUUGUGCUUACAUAGUUUAUUCUUUUAGCAGGUUUAUUCCUUUAGGCUUCUGUUGCCUCCAUAGUGUGCAAAUCUUCAUCAAUACAGGAAAAAUCAGACCUUCCAAUCCACCAUUCUGAAAAUAUGUCAGCUGAAAAAUGCUGAACUCAAUUCAGGGCUAAAUCAGUGUGACUGGAGUAGAAUCAAUACAGGAAUAUUUUUUUCAUAAGGUUCAUUUUGCUACUGGGCUCCAGUUAAAGAUGACUGAAAAAAAAGCUACGUAACUCCUAGUGCUUUUAUUUGACCAUUUAUAAACAUGUCAGUGCAUGAUCAGGUUUUGCAUAACUAACCUCAUCUUUGUCAAGUGAAUGAAUGCAAUUUUCUUUUAAGUGCUGACAUUUCUGGCUGCACAUCUCUUUGACUCUCUGUCUCUUCAGGUUAGCAUCUUGUUUUUUUUGUAAAGCUACAAAAUUGUGAACAAGGAGGCCACUUAGUCACUUUAAACUAACUAAAAUCUACUGAAAAACUGGAUAUAAAACUGUAAAGGAGCAUUUAUUCAAAUGAAUCUGAAUAUGUAAUUUGUUAGUAAUAUCUCAUUCUCCUUAGAUAUUUUUCUCAUAAUCCACAUUAAGGCAUAGGGACUACUGAUGAACCAGAAACAAAUAAUAAUGUUAUUGAUGUUCAAGUGGAUUUCUGUAAGAGACAAGUAUAACACUUUAUUUAAAUUCAUUGCCAUUUAUCUCCAAUAGGAGAUAAAGGACAGGUGCUUCUCUCAAUGCCCUGACCUAAAUGCAAAUGCUAAUCUUUCAGUUGUGCAUAUUAGAGAACUCAUUUUCUGGUAAUACUCACACUUUUCAUAUGCAGGUGUCAAGUUAUAGUUGCUAGUCCACCUAAUAUUUCUACUAUGUUCAUCUCUCUUUAUAGUAUUAGAUUUGUCUUUUCUAUUUGGAGUCAAAAGAAUGCCUUAAAAACAAACAAUAAAAAACCAAACAAUAAAACAUUACACAUCUUUAUUAGAAAAAAACCCAAAUCAUAUAACAGAGGUUAUGUUUUAGGAAUUAAAAUUUAAGAGAGAACCAUCUUUUGAGCCAUACCACUAAUCUGGUCUUGGAAGAAAGACUGAAAAACUCAGUUUACUUUAGCUUACAGGAAAUGUGUACUUGCUAAAGACAAUAUAUUGUUGUAAUGGGCUUUCAAGAUGAAAUACAGUUGCUUUAGUUAGGUUUUUAUAUUUUAAAAUAACUUUGUGGCUUUCAUAAGACAAAUUAAUCAAUUACUGAAUCUGAAGGGGGGAAAAUAUAAACAAAUUCAAACAUCAACCUACUAGCUUUUAAUGGGCAUUAAUUAAAUAACCAUGUAAACAAGGCUUUUGAAAAUAAGAGUACUAAAAAUAAAUUUUUGGUGGGAAUUUCAUUUCAAAGAAUUCAUUACGGAUUCCUGGUCUGGCUGUUUAUCACAAGCCCCAAGUCCUCAGCAGAGGACAGGAAUGGGUCUAAUGGAAAAACAUGACUGGAACUGUGUAAGGAAUGGUGCUAAAUCCAGGUUCAGGCAGCUAAGCUCUGCUUUGAGCCAGACUAAACUUCUCCAUUUUAGAAAACAAUGCCACAGAAAACUGAGAAAUAGCAAAUGCCAAGGAAGUAACCCUGACAGGAUUCAAAACGGGAUCAACACAGCAAGUGCCAGAUAACUUUGCAGGGAGAUAAUGUGCAUUACACAAUUUCAUGAUUAUAGAGUAUGCAUUUUAUGGCCUAAUAAUAUACAGAUUAUUCUCAGAAUCUAGAGGAAAAAAAAAAAAAGAAAAUAGUUUUCUAUCCACAGUCUCCAUGGUAAAGUUCUGCAAAAGAAUCAAUAGACAGUAAGGGCUUUUCACACAGGUUUCCAAACCAAGCCCUUACUUUGGAAACCAUCCUUCUUGCUGCUAAAAGUUGAUAUUUCUUUAUGCAGCCUGUCUUUCUUCACUGGGGCCAGCAGCAUUUCUGGAAAAUAUAAGAUGAGCACCAGAACAAAUGCUAGACUUGACUAUUUCUGGCAAAUGUGAGAGUCUUAUGAAAGCCUAUAAUGAGCAUCUGUCACCAUGGCAAGAAACACACACGAUCCUUCAAAACAGAAGUGGCCAGUUCUGAUCUCACUUAGUACAAAUCACUGUAAAUCAAAUUCUAUGAGAGAGUUUAAAACAGCAAGACAAUCAGAUGCAAAUAAACUAAAGUUCAGAAUUUUAAAUGCAAUUCUAAAGCAACGGUUCCAAGCACUGAACAUAAACUCCAUACUCUGGUGAGUUGCAGGUUUGCUGCUGUUACCAGCAGCCACCCUGCGGAGCUCCCCUCGGUAUCUUUCUUCAGCCUCCAGGAUGACUCUGUGGUGCUCACACCUGUGCAGGCAGCUCUGCAACAUCUUGGUGAAGGUUUUACUGUUCAAGGACAGUCCUCCUGCUGUGCAACCUGGGAAAAAUAAGAUAUUGCAGAAACAGCAAUCACAGCUUCUAAACAAGCCACCACAAAGUUCAGGUUUUAUUUUGCUCACCAGGAUCAAUUUGACUUCAGGUUUUCCAUAAUCAUGGCAUUUUUAUGUGACUUCCUGAAAUACUUUGUAUUUUCUCUCUUAAAAAAAUUAGUUUUCAACAUUUUAUGGGAUUAAGUUAUACUGCAGUUCCACUCCCGAAGUACUGAGUGAGGCACAGAGCUAAAUCUAGUUUAGGCAUGAAUGCCCUCACAGGAAGCCUUGCUGUUCAUUUUUGAGGACAUUCCUAGGGUAAUUUAUGGUUUAGAUAUCCUUGGAAGCCCUCAUGGUUAAGUUACAUCUGCUGAAGGAGAACUUGUGUGAGGAGUCACAGGAAGGGCACAAGUAUCUAUAACAUUGUACCUUAAGGUAAAGCAGUGCUAAAUCUCAGCUUGAAUUUAGUUUGACAACUCAGAUAAAAAUAAUGUUCAGAAGUGAGUUAUGGGCUGCUUUGGGGGGGGGUCUUUGUCUUCUGUGGGUUUUUGUUUUGUUGGGGGUUUUUAAAUAAAGAAACAUUGGCUUGAUUACAAAAUCCACUCACAAAUCCAGAGUACCAGCAACAUUCUCAUGACCUACUGAUGGAGCAGGCUGAGGAAGUAGAGCCUGGGGUAACGGAGGGCUGUAGAUGUGGAUUACCAUGAAACUGCCUGCCUAUACUUCACAGCAGUGAGUCAGAGAGAAGAGAAGGGCUGCAAAACACUGAGGAGGCUUAGCAGGAGAAUAAAUGAGGGAAAUGAGCAGGGCUAUGUGUUCUUCCUCCAUC